GUAGGUGAACCUGCGGAAGGAGCAUUACAUAUUGUACACGGCUGGGAUCUCCAGAAGCCAACGUCUUGCUCCGGCAAGCGUAGCCUCUGCCCAGUUGUGUGAAUAUACACCCAUGUUUUUGCGCACUUCUUGUUUCCUUGGCGGGUUCGCCCGCCAAUUGGACAUUAUAAACCCAUUGUAAUUGCAGUCAGCGUCAGUAAAAUUUAAUUAUUACAACUUUCAACAACGGAUCUCUUGGCUCUCGCAUCGA
rnacentral:misc_RNA from 1 species